UACAGGGGGUGCAAACGUUGCUCGGAAUCAUUGGGCGUAAAGCGAGUGUAGGCGGUUUGGUAAGUCGGAUGUGAAAGCCCUGGGCUCAACCCAGGAAGUGCAUUCGAUACUGUCAAGCUAGAGUAUCGGAGAGGUUGGUGGAAUUCUCGGUGUAGAGGUGAAAUUCGUAGAUAUCGAGAGGAACACCGGUGGCGAAGGCGGCCAACUGGACGAAUACUGACGCUGAGACUCGAAAGCGUGGGUAGCAAACAGG
rnacentral:rRNA from 1 species